GAGGACCUCUGGCGGCGCGCCUAACACAUGCAAGUCGAACGAGCGGGAGAGAGCUUGCUUUCUCGAGCGAGUGGCGAACGGGUGAGUAACGCGUGAGGAACCUGCCUCAAAGAGGGGGACAACAGUUGGAAACGACUGCUAAUACCGCAUAAGCCCACAGGUCGGCAUCGACCAGAGGGAAAAGGAGCAAUCCGCUUUGAGAUGGCCUCGCGUCCGAUUAGCUAGUUGGUGAGGUAAUGGCCCACCAAGGCAACGAUCGGUAGCCGGACUGAGAGGUUGAACGGCCACAUUGGGACUGAGACACGGCCCAGACUCCUACGGGAGGCAGCAGUGGGGAAUAUUGCACAAUGGGGGAAACCCUGAUGCAGCGACGCCGCGUGGAGGAAGAAGGUCUUCGGAUUGUAAACUCCUGUUGUUGAGGAAGAUAAUGACGGUACUCAACAAGGAAGUGACGGCUAACUACGUGCCAGCAGCCGCGGUAAAACGUAGGUCACAAGCGUUGUCCGGAAUUACUGGGUGUAAAGGGAGCGCAGGCGGGAAGACAAGUUGGGAGUGAAAUCUAUGGGCUCAACCCAUAAACUGCUUUCAAAACUGUUUUUCUUGAGUAGUGCAGAGGUAGGCGGAAUUCCCGGUGUAGCGGUGGAAUGCGUAGAUAUCGGGAGGAACACCAGUGGCGAAGGCGGCCUACUGGGCACCAACUGACGCUGAGGCUCGAAAGUGUGGGUAGCAAACAGGAUUAGAUACCCUGGUAGUCUACACCGUAAACGAU
rnacentral:rRNA from 1 species